rnacentral:rRNA from 1 species
AUGGAUGAUGAGGGCUUUGUUGCGAAGGGAAGAAGUGGAGAUUAUACCAAUGCAGAGGAUGUGUUGAUAUGCACCGCAUGGAAGAAAGUCUCUCAAGAUGCAUCCGUUGGAAGCGCCCAAACGGUAAACACUUAUUGGCAACACAUCAAGGAUUACUUCGAUGAGUGCAACACAAGUGGUCACUUCCGUUCGAGCGACUCUCUUCGCCAACGUUGGUCCACCAUCAACGCUGAAUGCUACAAGUGGGCCGGUUGCUUGUCAAAUGUUGCUCGCAUGAACCCAAGUGGUUGCGGUGAUAGUGACUUGGUAAAUAUUUCCUCUUUGUGCAUGCUUUCUCAAAUAUUGGAUUGUUCCACAUUUUGA